rnacentral:rRNA from 1 species
UACAGAGGUCCCAAGCGUUGUUCGGAUUUACUGGGCGUAAAGGGCGCGUAGGUGGUAGGCUAAGUCUGGUGUGAAAUCUCUGAGCUUAACUCAGAAAUAGCACUAGAUACUAGCUUGCUUGAGGGUUGGAGGGGAGACUGGAAUGCUCGGUGUAGCAGUGAAAUGCAUAGAUAUCGAGCGGAACACCAGUGGCGAAGGCGAGUCUCUGGACAACUCCUGACACUGAGGCGCGAAAGCUAGGGGAGCAAACGGG